GACGAACGCUGGCGGCGUGCUUAACACAUGCAAGUCGAACGGAAGGGCCCUGCUUUUGUGGGGUGCUCGAGUGGCGAACGGGUGAGUAACACGUGAGUAACCUGCCCUUGACUUUGGGAUAACAUCUGGAAACUGGGGCUAAUACCGGAUAGAAGCUCCUGCUGCAUGGUGGGGGAUGGAAAGUUUCGGCGGUUGGGGAUGGACUCGCGGCUUAUCCGCUUGAUGGUGGGGUAGUGACUUACCAAGGUUUCGACGGGUAGCCGGCCUGGGAGGGUGACCAGCGACAUUGGGACUGAGAGACGGCCCAGACUGGUACGUGAGGCAGCAGGCGAGAAUAUUGCAGAGUGAGCCGAAGUCAGAGGCAACAAUGUCGCGUUCGUGAUGACCGCCUACUAGUUGUAAACCGCUGUCGCCUUUGACGAACCGAGAGUGACGGUAACGGGUAAAGAAGCACCGGCUAACUACGUG
rnacentral:rRNA from 1 species